rnacentral:rRNA from 1 species
AUUCGUAGAGUGCAAAGGCAUAAGGGAGCUUGACUGCGAGACCUACAAGUCGAGCAGGGACGAAAGUCGGGCUUAGUGAUCCGGUGGUUCCGCAUGGAAGGGCCAUCGCUCAACGGAUAAAAGCUACCCCGGGGAUAACAGGCUUAUCUCCCCCAAGAGUCCACAUCGACGGGGAGGUUUGGCACCUCGAUGUCGGCUCAUCGCAUCCUGGGGCUGUAGUCGGUCCCAAGGGUUGGGCUGUUCGCCCAUUAAAGCGGUACGCGAGCUGGGUUCAGAACGUCGUGAGACAGUUCGGUCCCUAUCCGUCGUGGGCGUAGGAAAUUUGAGAGGAGCUGUCCUUAGUACGAGAGGACCGGGAUGGACGCACCGCUGGUGUACCAGUUGUUCUGCCAAGGGCAUAGCUGGGUAGCUAUGUGCGGAAGGGAUAAGUGCUGAAAGCAUCUAAGCAUGAAGCCCCCCUCAAGAUGAGAUUUCCCAUAGCGUAAGCUAGUAAGAUCCCUGAAAGAUGAUCAGGUUGAUAGGUUCGAGGUGGAAGCAUGGUGACAUGUGGAGCUGACGAAUACUAAUAGAUCGAGGACUUAACCAUAUAA